rnacentral:lncRNA from 1 species
UAGAAUACAACAUGUAAUACCAACUUAUACAUAAAACAUAUGGGCCUCUAAGACCAAAAUAACCACUCGUAUACUGAACAUAUGUCGAAAAGGCCAUACAAUCUUUGACAUACAUGACAUCUGUCUAUAAGCCUCUAAGGAUACAUAAUUAUCCUAAAGGUCAGGACAGAGCCCUACCAUACAAAACAAUACACAUCUAAAUCAUAAUGACCAAACAAGCAACUCAAGAGAAAAUUGAGUGCACCAACAUCUUCCGCUAAGCUGAUCGCCUACUUGGAGAAAUCUCGACCUUUCUAUCGAGACCUGCGGGCAUGAAAUGCAGUAUCGCCAGGAAAAAGGGACGUCAGUACAAAUAAUGUACCGAGUAUGUAAGGCACACAAAAAGGUACAUAAAAGACAUGAAACAAAUAUAGAAAAAUAGACUCAACCUGUAUGUCUGGAUAACUUUGUAAAUUAUGAAAUACUUUUAGCGUCAUGCAUAUACAUAUAAAUUUAAUGUUGUGCAUAAUUAUAUGUGUUCAUAACAUCAUCAAGCCUCUGAGGGCAUCCCAACAUAUCAUCUCGGCCAUAGUGGGCAAAAUCUUCAACUUAUACAAGCUGAUCGGGUGGUGGUUUGUACAUAACGCCACAAUCUUUCCCAUAUCCUAUAUAUAUAUAUAUAUACACACACACAUACAUGCAUAUAUAAGGCCAUAUUAUCAUGGGUCAAUGUGCAUGUUUAAAUGCAUUAAAUGCAUAUGAAAUACGUCAAUAAAAUCUCUCGGUACGUCAUAAGAUUAUUAUGUCUCUGGUUAAUAUCAUGAAAUACACUUUACCAACUUAUGUAUUUUUCUGAAACCUAUGAACAAAUGAUAGAAUAUUAUGACACAUGGGGAAUCAAUAACAUAAGCAUCUCUAGUGUUUCUAUGAAUAGAGUCAUUUAUUGAAGUUGUGCAUUUUCUCAUUUUGUUUGUAUCAUAUGGAUCAUGCCAAAAGGAAAGAAGGGAUAGUCUUAACAUACCUGAAUCAAUUCUUG